rnacentral:lncRNA from 1 species
UAAUCUCUCCCACUUCGAUUGCUUCCUUCCCCAUCAUCAGUCCCAAAAAUUGCGCCCCACAUUCCACCACCCCUAUGGCCAAACCUAGACAAAUUUGGCACUAUUCCCAUAAAAAAUACUAGGAUCUGCGAGCUAAGAGAUUAUGUUUUCGUUGCAAGCAACCUUAUUCCCCUUACACGAUUGCCCUUUUGAAACCCUUCGAGCUAUAAUUGCUGCCAAAGAUGAACUCUCUCCCAUUGAUCUUGAUUCCAUACUUCUAAAACUGUGCCCUCUUCCUUCUUUCGUGAAGCUCAAUUCUUAAACCUCGAACUUCCAUUCUAUUCAAUUGGGGGUAUUUCUCAAUCUCGCACAAUUAAAUUAUAAGGUACACUUCUUAACCAACCUAUUUUGUUGUUGGUUGAUAGUGGAGCAAGCCAUUAUUUUAUUUCUCAAUCCCUGAUUUCUAAACUAUCUUUUCUGCUCAAUGCUACUCCCACUUUCACUGUUCAUUUGGGUUACAGUCAUUGUGCUAAUGCAUCUGGAUGUUGUAAAUAGUUGAAUAUUAACUUAGGUGCUCUCACCAUCUACCCUGAUUCUUAUGCCUUUCCUUAUCCCUGGGUGAUGUUAAGAUGAAUUGAAGAAAACUCACCAUGUCCUUUACCCAUGAUGACCAACCUAUUCUGUUAUCUAGCCCACCUGCUCUUCAAGGUAUCCAAGUUUUCUUAAUGUUUUUGUAACGACCCCAAAAUGGACCGUCACCGGCGCUAGGAUUCAGAUCGGCUUAAGGCCGCCAGAACCCGUAGCAAGCUUGCUAUACUCUCUGAGUACCUGUAAAAUCUCAUACAUGGUCAUACAUUUUCUGUGAAAUAAAAACUUUUCUCUGGACCAAGACUUAACCUGUGCAUGCACUAUCUCUGUACUCUGUACCCCUGACUAAAGCUUGCUCUAGAUAGGUUCUGUUAUACCUAUUAAGCCUGGUUUUUCACAUACUCUGUAAAACAGUUAUAUAAACAGACCAUGUAUACAAAAGAUUCACAACACAACAAUAACUAAGUCAAGCACAAUUCUAACUUUAUACACAACUGUUACAUCUCUUUAAUCUUACAUGUCCACAAUAUUCUAUUACAAAACUCUUCUCUCUUCCUGUACUAUGUUGGACUUCCCUUGUACACUGUACACUGAACCUGCAAGACUGGGGUUAAGGGAGUGGGAUGAGCUCUAUAGCCUAGUGAGUAGAACAGUAAAACAAGUCAUUAACACAUGAUCUUAUGGAAUGCAUCAUAUCACAAACAAUUCACAUCAAGGGUAAACCUGUCACCACAUAGUCCCAGUAACUGUUCCGUGCUAGGCCGUAGACUGGGGUCCUGGUCUUCCUGUACUGUAUAUGUAUAUGUGUAUAUAACACCUGUACUUACCAUUUGCCAGGGUGUAGACUGGGCACCUGGUCUUUACUAUACCUGCCAGGCCGUAGAAUGGGGUCCUGGACUUUUCUAUACUUGCCAGGCCGUAGAAUGGGGUCCUGGACUUCCUGUCUAGAACUAUUGGAUCAUUCAACAUUCACCCACAUCAACAAAUAACUAUGCAAUGCAACAUAUUCAUGGAUUCUAGUGCAAACAACCUACUGUAUACUCAUGAUGCAUGAAUGAUGCUAAACGCAUUUCAGUUCUCAAUUAAAAGAAUUAAGUUUAGUUCCACUCACCUCUGGCUAUCUGGACUGACUCUGCAGGCUCUGUAAACGCUGGAGCAGUACUCACUGCUGCUCUCUCUGGUUCCUCUGGUCUGUGCCUACACAGAUGGACUCAAAUGAGGGACCAAACUAGCUUAUGAACAACUCUAUUAAACUCCCCAAGAAUCCCCGUAAACUCACUCAAACAUCCAUGCAAAGCAUGCAAAGGAAGGCUGGACAUAACACUUUCGGCGGCAGGUUCGGCAGCCGAAAGUCCUCUCCAGAGCCGAAACUCAUGCACCUUCGGCGGCCGAAUCUCCACUUUCGGCAGCCGAACCCUUCGGGGGCAAGUUUCGGGGGCUGAAAGGCACUCCAGAGACGAAAGUCUCUAAUCUUCGGGGGCAUCUUCGACGGCCGAAACUCCCCUCCAUAGCCGAAAGUCCAAAGGCUCAGGGGCAAGCUUAGGCAAUCGAAGCCACCUCCUCAGCACAUUCGGCGGCCGAACCAUUCUUCGGCAGCCGAAGCUGGGUUCAUCAGCAAGGCAGAACCUUGCUCUGCCUCACGCCAAACUGCACCAAUCUUCCUCCAACUCAAACACCUCAACUCCUCAACAUGCAUACACCCAAGUAUAUGCUCAAAGGGGUCAGACACUACCUUAAAACCCCAACAACACAAAACAUAUAACACAUAUACAAGCUUUUCACAAAAAAUAUCAAAAAACUCUCUUUUACCCUAAUCAUGCAACUCUCUCCCAAAACCUCAUAAAACCUUCAGAAAUCAUAAAAACAAGUUUAGGAUCUUCACUUACCUCUUGAAACCAAGAAGAUGAACGAUCCUAACUGUAAUACCUGGCUAGAGUUCGGCAUCGGAAUUCUACUUUCUGAUGGAGUUCCGGUUGCCGAAAGUCUUUAGACGGGAUAGCUUUAUGUUUUUCUCACAUGUUUUGGUAUGUUUCAUACUUUUAAAGCAUAAGGAAAUGAGUUUUUGAGUGAAAUGAACCAAGGCAGAAAAGCCAGGUUCGGCCGCCAAAGUUGAGGUUCGGCUGCCGAACAUGCAUGGCUUUCGGUUUCACGUGUGGCCGCCGAAGGUGGUCUGGCCAGCCACCUAUAAAUGGCCCUCAAUCGGUUGAAGCGGUGCAAGCACCGUUUCUUUUGUCUUCUGAGGUGAAACCCUGUCCUUUGUGAGUAUUUCUUCAUGUUUUCAUUGAAUCAUACAAAGAUUUGAUUAGUUUUUAUGGUAUUUUGAAGGUUUUAAGCUAAAAACUCAAAGUUGUGAAGUUUGGAGAGUUUGAAGGAGAGUUGCUCCAAAACUCCACGUUAGGAUCGUUCAUCUUCUUGUUUUCAAUAGGUAAGUGAAGAUCCUGAGCUUGUGUUUAUGUUUUCUGAAGGUUUUAUGGGGUUUAUGGAGAGAGUUGCAUGAAUAGGGUUAUUUGUGAGGUUUUGAUGAUUGUGUGCAUAAAGCUUGUUUCUGUGUUGUUUGUGUUGUGUGUUUGGGGUGUUUAGAUAGUUUUUGACCCCUUUGAGCAUAUACAUGAGUGUAUGCAAGUUGAGGAAGUGCGGUGUGAAGUUGGAGAGGAGUUUCGUGCAUUUGGCGAGAGGCAGGGCAAGUUUCUGCCCUGCUGAUGAACUCAGGUUCGGCCGCCGAAGGUACAUUCGGCCGCCGAACCCAUGAGGAGGUAGCUUCGGCUGCCCAAGCUUGCCCCCGAGCUUUUGGACUUUCAGCUCUGGAGGGAAGUUCGGCCGCCGAAGGUGCUGCCGAAGGUUAGAGACUUUCGUCUCUGGAGUGCCUUUUGGCCUCCGAAACUUGCCCCCGAAAGGGUUCGGCUGCCGAAAGUAGAGAUUCGGCUGCCGAAGGUGCUUGAGUUUCGUCUCUGGAGAGGACUUUCGGCCGCCGAACCUGCCGCCGAAAGUGUCCUGUCCAGCUUUCCUUUGCAUGCUUUGCAUGGAUGUUAGAGUGAGUUUAAGGGGAUUUUUGGGGAGUUUAAUCGAGUUGGUCUUGCGUUAGUUUGGUCCCUCAUUUGAGUCCAUCUGUAUAGGUACAGACCAGAGGAACCAGAGAGAGCAGCAGUGAGUACUGCUCCAGCGUUUACAGAGCCUGCAGAGUCAGUCAGUCUAGUUAGCCAGAGGUGAGUGGAACUAAACUUAACUCUUUUAAUUGAACAAUGGAAUGUUUUAGCAUAUCUCAUGCAUCAUGAUUAUGCAAUAGGUUGAGUGAAUUAGUAUCCACGAAUAUGUUGCAUUGCAUAGUUAUUUGUUGAUGUGGGUGAAUGCUGAAUGAUCCAAUAGUCUCAGACAGGAAGUCCAGGAGCCUUUGACUACGCCCUGGCAGGUAUAGUAAAGACCAGGAGCCUUUGACUACGCCCUAGCAGUUAUAGUAAAGACCAGGAGCCUUUGACUACGCCCUGGCAAUGGUAAGUACAGAGGUGUUAUAUACACAUAUACAUAUAUAACAGGAAGACCAGGUGCUCGAUGCUACGCCCUGGCACAGAGUUACUGGGACUAUGUGGUGACAGGUUUACUCUUGAUGUGGUUUAUCUGUGUUAUGACGCAUUCCAUCAGAUCAUAUGUUAAUGAAUUGUUUUACUGUUCUACUCACUGGGCUAUAGAGCUCAUCCCACUCCCUUAACCCCAGUCUUGCAGGUUCAGUAUACAGUGUACAGGGAAGGUUCAGCAAGUGCAGAGUGCCAAAAGAGUAAAGAGUAAAGAGAAUUGUACUAGUGUAAAGUGGACAUGUAAUAUAAAGAGAUGUAUUAGUUGUGUUUUCAGUUACAAAUGUGCUUGACUUAGUAGUUUGUGUUGUAAAUAUGUUGUUGUGUACAUGAUCUGUAUAUGUAGAUGUUUGAUAGAGUAUGUGAAAAACCAGGCUUAACAGGUAUGAGUUACCCAAGGGGUACAGAGUACAGAGUACAGAGUACAGAUUACAGAGUACAGAGUACAGAGAUAGUGCAUGCACAGGUCAAGCCUUGGUGCAGGAAAAGAGUUUUUAUUUUCACAGAAAAUGUAUGAUCAUGUAUGAGAUUUACAGGUACACAGAGAGUAUAGCAGGCUUGCUACGGGUUCUAGCGGCCUUAAGCCGACCUGAAUCCUAGCGCCGGUGACGGUCCAUUUUGGGGUCGUUACACUAACGUGGAGUUUUGAAGCAACUCUCCUUCAAACUCUCCAAAAUACACAACUUUGUGUUUUUAGCUCAAAACCUUCAAAAGAACAUAAAACUCAAUCAAAUCUUUGCAAGAUGUAAUGAAAACAUAAAGAAACCUUCAGAAGGACAGGGUCUCACCUUAGAAAGUGAAAGAAAACGGCAAUACUUAUCCUUUCAACCGACUGAGGGCCUUUUAUAGGUGGCUGGCCAGACCACCUUCGGCAGCCUAUCGUGAAACCGAAAGCCAUGCAUGUUCGGCGGCCGAACUUUCCCUUCGGCGGUCGAACCUGGCUUUUCCUCCUUGGUGCUUUUCUUUCAAAAACUAUGUUUUAAAACAUUAAAACAUACUAUAUUACUUUAGAAAACCAUCAAUCUUACCCUUCUAGAGAAUUCUGACAUCCUGGAUUCCACCAGACGACAGGAAUUCCGAUGCCGGACUCUAGCCGGGUAUUACAGUUUUCCUUAAAACCACCAGUAUCGAUUUAUAAGCCUUAGUUUGGGAUUUUACCUUCAUUACCUCUUCGGAUGACUCUCAUUCCCAUCUUACUUCCUCUCAACUCUUAGAAUUAAGCAGCCUCCUCUAGUAAUUUCACUCAGUCUUUAUUGAUUCUAACGCCCUACCACCCAAUAGACCACCAGAUCAUUCCAUUCCCUCAUAUCCAAACACUGUCUAAUACUUAGCCCUUUUGAUAUGUUUUUCAUCAAAAGGACAAAUCGUAAAAAUGGUGUUUGACAUGUUGGCUGUAGGAAUCAUCUGCUUUAGUACUAGUCCGUUUUCUAAGAAGCAUGGGAGUUACCACUUUUGCAUCAAUUAUCGAGUAUUGAAUAAAAAUACUAUUCCAAACAAAUAUCUCAUACCAGUCAUUCAAUAACUUCUGAAUGAGCUCCAUGGGGUUGCCUUUUUCUCCAAAAUAGACCUCAAGGCAGGAUAUCAUCAAAUUCAGGUGAAGGAACCAGACACUCAUAAAAUGACUUCUCGUAGUCACUCUAGCCACUAUGAGUUUGUAGUCAUACCAUUCUGCCUCACCAAUGCUCUGGCCACCUUCCAACCUACCAUGAAUGACAUUUUCAGGCCAUAUCUUCGUCGCUUUAUUCUCAUUUUUUUAUGAUAUCCUAGUUUAUAGUAAAAUAUGGACUAGCCAUUUAUUUCAUCUGCAAACUACCUUAUCUAUUUUGUAGCAACAUCAGUUUUCAGGGAAAACAGUUCCAACUCCCAACUCCGGUGGAGUUACUUGCUAUUACUGCCAUGAACCUAAGCAAACUAAGAGUACAUGUAUGAAACUUCAGAAUAAGAAUUAAUGCUUCCAAUGGCACAUAUGGCAGUUGAGGCUUCUAUUGAUAAGGGUUUCCUGAUAUUUGCCGAUGAGUAUGCGCAAUUGUCUUAAUACCAGACAUCUUUGAAAUCCUUUAAUUCUUCUAUCAUUGCAAUCCCUAAGUUAGAUAAUAAUACAUAUAAGAGAAUAAGAUUUAAAAGUAAGUCUUGAUUGUAAUAGAUUGUGGGCGGGAAAAAAAAAUAAAAUAGCAUUUAUUUAGUUGAUAGUUAGUCUAUUAAGAGCAAUUACUCAACAUUGAGCAGAAUAUAUAAAGUAGAGAUACUAAUUUGUAAUUCAUUCAAUGAUCAAUCAAGAAAUACAAAACUCUCUCUCUCUCUCUCUCGUGUUGUGUAAUCCCUCUCACUCUCUUUCUAAAUUCUCUAUGUUCGUUUUAUUUCCUUCUCUUUCUUUAUCUCGAUCCAUAACAUUUGGUAUCAGAGCCGUUAUAUUUAGAUCCACAAAAAUUGCCAAGAGAAUGCUCAAGAGCUCAUUUGCCCAAUGUUUCUUUGCUCCAUUUAGCCUCUUCUUCAAGCCCUAAAGGAUCGCCUUGUUCAUCACCUCAGGUUUGCGGUUGAGCUACGGACGAGAACUUGCUGAAUCCCUAGGUUCCAUAUGAACUCUUUAAACCCUUUACAGUCAAAUUGCUUCCCAUUAUUGGAGACCAAGACCUUUGGAAUGCUAAAAUGGCAUAUGAUGUUUUCCCAUACAAAAUCAAUCAUCUUUUGGGCUGCUAUAUUUAGAAUUGCCUCAGCUUCUGACCAUUUAGAGAAGUAUUCCACAGCUACUACCACAUAUUUCUUUUACUCAAUAGUUUUACGAAAAGGUCCUAGCAAAUCUAUGCCUCUGUAAUACUUGGCUAGACCCUGGCAUCGGAAUUUCUAUUUUUUCGGUGGAUUCUCGGAUGUCAGAAAACUCUAGAAGGGUAAAAUAUAUUUUUCUAAAAUGUUUUCAUGAGUUUUAAGGUUUGAAGUAAGUAAAAAAUUGAGUUUUUGAAAGAAAAGUGCCUUGGAAGGAAAUCCAGGUUCGGCCGCCGAACGUUGGUGACUUUAGGGAGCACCUUUUACCCCUGAAGGUGGUCUGGCCAGCCACCUAAAAAAGGCCCCAUGUCCGAAAAUGGACGAGUUUUCUUCCCCAUUUUCGGGCAAAGGUGAGUCCAUGCCCUUCCAUGGUUAGUUUUCAUGUUUUCCCUCAAAUCUUUCCAGUUUUUAACAAGCUUUCAUCUUGUUUUGAAGUUUUUAAGCUCAAAAUCGAAGUUGUGAAGCUUGGAGACCUCCGGAACCCGUUUUUCCCAAAUCUCCAAGUUGGGUCAUGCCUUCUCUCGAUCUUCAUGAGGUAAGCGUCGAUCCUCACCAUCUUUGAUGUUUUAAGCAAGUUUUAUGAAGGGUUAUGGGGUAAAGAUGCAUGAUUAGCUUAGUUGAAAAAGGUUAGGGUUUAUGUGAGUUUAAGGAUGAAAUGUAUGAUUAUUGUGUUGGAAUGUGAUGUUUGUUGGGGGAUAGGAUAGUUUGAGACCCCUACAUACUUGUGUACAUGUUUAUGUAUGUUUUUGCAUGGUUUAGCUUGAGUUUAGAAGGUUUUGGGAGGCUGUUUGUGCAUGAGAGGCUGAGUUCUGCCAUUCUGGAAGAACUCAGGUUCGGCAGCCGAAACCAUGUUCGGCCGCCGAACCUGCGUGGGGGGGCAGUUCUGGCUGCCGAACCCUGCCCCCGAAGGUUGGCGAGUUUCGGCUCUGGAACCAUUUUCGGCCGCCAAACCUGCCGCCGAAAGUGGCUGAGUUUCAGCUCUGAAGGGACUUUCGGACGCCGAACCUGCCGCCGAAAGUGCCCUGUCCAGCCUUCCUUUGCAUGUUUUCUAUAAUUGUUUUAUGAUGUUUUAGGGGGUUUUUGGGGAGUUGCUUAGAGUCAUAUUAGUGUAUGUUUGGUCCCUCAUUUGAGUCCACCUGUGUAGGUUCGGACCCGAGG